AUUAAAGAGGCAGCAUUGUGUUGUUAGGUUGUUAUGUGUAACUUGUGCUCAUACAUUAAGAAAAAUGUAGCUGGCAUUCCCUUGGACAUGACCAGACCCCUUAAAAAAAGAGAGAAUUAUUAAUAGUUGGUUGUAAGGCAUUUGUAGAACACUUCUGAAAUUCUGACCUUUAGUGCAUUAACUAGCUGUUUUUAUCCAGCUCCCAGGCAGAGUAAGAUCUACAGUAGCCUGCCUAGGAAAUAGAAAUAAUGGGCAUAUUAGUGGGACUUGUUAAGCCUUCCUCUCCUGAACAGUGUCUCUUCUACCUUUAUUGCUGGACACAGCUUUGCAAUGAAUCUGUUGUGCUAAACAGCAGCAUUAACAGCACUGGACAUCAAGAAGGUUUCAAAAGUCCUUUACAUAGAGGUUCCUGGGGUUUUUGAGUGUCCAGUCUUCUCUCUCCUUGCAUUUUGGCCACUGGUUGUGCUCCUCGGAGGCCAUUUCAUCAUGUUGUAAGAUAAACCACAGAACACUGAGCAGGGCUGCAGCUGCUUCCCAGGACAGUAAAAGCGAUGGGUCAAAUGAAGAAGAAAACAUCUCUGCAUGGUGGGCCUAUAAAAUGUGCAUUUCAGGGGUAGUGCGGGAAUCCGCGGUACACACUUCUGGCUAACAGCUGGUUGCCAUGUCCUACAAAUGCUUUUCCUGCUGCAAGCACAUUGGAAGGUGUUUUAAGGCCAGUGUUGGCUAAGGAGGAUUGGCCUGAAAGGCAACUGAAGGACCACAGGACCAUUCAAUACCAAAGGGCAAUUCUGUGCGCAGAAUAAUUCCUGGAGGAGGGGCCUAUUCUAUUUCAUGUAUUUCCCAGAGUUUCAUAGUGCUCUGUAAGAAAUAACAGUACAUUAUAUAUCACAGAAUCACAGAACCAUGGAAUGGUUUGGGUUGGAAAGGACCUUAAAGACCAACCAGUUCCAACCCCCUGCUCCAGGCAUGGUUGCCACCCACUAGAUGCGUUAAUUUACAUUACUCACCAGUUUCUUAGAGGGACACUUUGUAAGACAGGCUUGAGCAAGGUUCAAAGUCUGCCUCUGUCCCUCUUCACGUGUUUCCUCAAGGGCAAGCUGCUGGAAUCACACAUCCCUUGCAUCUUUUUGCUGCUUCCUUCCCUACAGCACAGGAGAGGCUUCUGAAUGUGUGCAUCUGGACCACACUAAUACUUUUAAUAGGCUUUAAGGUUCCUGCCUGACACCUUCUCAGCAUGAAAUCCUUCACUUCACAAUACUUUGGAAAUAUUUUUAUUGAGAUCCCAGUGGCCAUAGCACAAGGGGCAUUCAAAAGGAUGCAACUUGCUGGGCUGCAGUGAUGGGAGGACUGGGCUCAGCCCUGGGCACGCUCCACCACCCUGUGCCCUGCCAGGCUUUCUUCUGCUGCCCUCCUUGGAGCUGCCCUCUGUCUGCAAGUUGAAAGAAAACUGAGGCCACAUUGUAGGGCCAGCAGCAGGAAAGUACAGUGCGAGAAGUGCUUGUCACCAUGAAUAAACAAUGAAAUGCAUUUUUUUUAAGUUGCUAAUUCCACUUGGCAUUUCUGAGUUCAGCAUUGCAAACAUCCAUCUUGUUAAAAAGUGAUGUCAUUUGCGACAGCAGUAGCAUUAGAAGAGACUGCAAACAUGUUCUCAACCUGUUUUAAUAAUGAUAUAACAACCAGGAAAGUUGUCAAUAUUUUAGGGAGAAAUUUUCUUCUGUGCCUCUACCAGACUCCAUCUGUGCCCAUGUGGAGCAGUGUCUAUGGAUGUGCAGGUGAAAUUAUGAGUGCAUGUGUCAAACAUGUGCAUGUGAAAUAUUACACUGGCAACACUUAAUGUUCUGAACUAAAUUAAAAGUCCCUUCAUCUUUCUCCAGUCUCUGAUAAAAUCAAUCCCACCUAUUUCUCCAGUGAAUCUGUAAAAUAAACCUUCAUAUCAUAUUUUUGUGUUUAAAAGCAACAAAAAAAAAAAGGGGGGGGGGGGGGGGGGGAGGGG
ensembl:lncRNA